rnacentral:tRNA from 2 species
GCACUGCUAGCUCAAUUGGCAGAGCAACUGACUCUUAAUCAGUGGGUUCUGGGUUCGAGUCCCAGGCGGUGUACGA